GGCCUUGAUAAGUACGACUGGUGCCCUUGUACAAGUGGAAAUGUGGACACAGACACGCAGACAGGGAGGACGCCACACAAAGGCUGGGCUGAUAUGCCCACAAGCCAAAGAAGGCCAAAGAUGGCCAGUAGGAAAAGCCACGGAGCCAGAGGG